AGGGGCGGGGCGCGCGGAGUCAGCGCAGCCAGGGAUGAGAAACUUGUCCCGGAUAUUUACCUAACUAUACCUGGCUCUUCCGACGCGCCCGACGUCUGUACAGCGGACAGUUUGAGGAAUAUAAUCCGUCUCUGCAGCGGGAAAACUGAGAAUCAGACUGAGACAGGCCGGCCUGGAUCCAUUAAUCAUUCACCUGGAAACCAAGACAGGACAAAUGUCCCAUCUCGGUGACGAGCAUAGGGCAGGGUGUUUGUCUUGAGAGGGAGGGAGAGUUACCGUGGUAACACAGACAUGCCAAAACUGGACCUGCUUUGCCUGGUUCAGCUGCUGGACGGCACUAUCGAAACCUUCAGAGUCAGUGUG